rnacentral:rRNA from 1 species
GACGAACGCUGGCGGCGUGCUUAACACAUGCAAGUCGAGCGGUAAGGCCCUUUCGGGGGUACACGAGCGGCGAACGGGUGAGUAACACGUGGGUGACCUGCCCUCAGCUCUGGGAUAAGCCUGGGAAACUGGGUCUAAUACUGGAUAUGACUCCACGGUGCAUGUCGUGGGGUGAAAGCCUUGUGCGGCUGAGGAUGGGCCCGCGGCCUAUCAGCUUGUUGGUGGGNGAUGGCCUACCAAGGCGACGACGGGUAGCCGGCC